rnacentral:rRNA from 1 species
AUUGAACGCUGGCGGUAGGCCUAACACAUGCAAGUCGAACGGCAGCACAGUAAGAGCUUGCUCGUACGGGUGGCGAGGGGCGGACGGGUGAGGAAUACGUCGGAAUCUACGUUUGCGUGGGGGGUAACGUAGGGAAACUUACGCUAAUACCGCAUACGACCUACGGGUGAAAGCAGGGGAUCUUCGGACCUUGCGCGAUUGAAUGAGCCGAUGUCGGAUUAGCUAGUUGGCGGGGUAAAGGCCCACCAAGGCGACGAUCCGUAGCUGGUCUGAGAGGAUGAUCAGCCACACUGGAACUGAGACACGGUCCAGACUCCUACGGGAGGCAGCAGUGGGGAAUAUUGGACAAUGGGCGCAAGCCUGAUCCAGCCAUACCGCGUGGGUGAAGAAGGCCUUCGGGUUGUAAAGCCCUUUUGUUGGGAAAGAAAAGCAGCAGGUUAAUACCCCGCUGUUCUGACGGUACCCACAGAAUAAGCACCGGCUAACUUCGUG